UACGUAGGGUGCGAGCGUUGUCCGGAAUUAUUGGGCGUAAAGAGCUCGUAGGCGGUCUGUCACGUCGGAUGUGAAAACUCGGGGCUCAACCCCGAGCCUGCAUUCGAUACGGGCAGACUAGAGUUCGGUAGGGGAGACUGGAAUUCCUGGUGUAGCGGUGAAAUGCGCAGAUAUCAGGAGGAACACCGGUGGCGAAGGCGGGUCUCUGGGCCGAUACUGACACUGAGGAGCGAAAGCGUGGGGAGCGAACAGG
rnacentral:rRNA from 1 species